AUGGAGGUGACGGCGGACCAGCCGCUCUGGGUGAGCCACCACCACCCCGCGGUGCUCAACGGGCAGCACCCGGACACGGACACGCACCGCCCGGGCCUCGGCCACUCCUACGUGGACCCGGCGCAGUACCCGCUGCCGGGGGAGGUGGAUGUACUUUUUAACAUCGACGGUCAAGACAACCACGUCCCGUCCUUCUACGGAAACUCGGUCACAGCCACGGUGCAGAGGUACCCCCCAGCCCACUACGGGAGCCAGGUGUGCCCCCCGCCCCUGCUGCACGGGUCCCUGCCCUGGCUGGAUGGCGGCAAAGCUCCGGGCGGCCACCACACCGCUUCGCCUUGGAACCUCAGCCCCUUUUCCAAGACUUCCAUCCACCACGGCUCCCCGGGGCCCCUCACGGUCCACCCCCCAGCCUCGUCCUCCUCCCUGUCCGGGGGCCACGCCAGCCCGCACCUCUUCACCUUCCCGCCCACCCCGCCCAAGGACGUCUUCCGGGACCCGUCGCUGUCCACCCCGGACUCGGCCAGCUCGGGCCAGCAGGACGAGACAGAGUGCCUCAAGUACCAGGUGCCGCUGCCCGACAGCAUGCAGCUCGAGUCGUCGCACUCCUGCAGCAGCGUGCGCACCCUGGGGGGAGCCUCCUCGUCAGCCCACCACCCCAUCACCACCUACCCGCCCUACGUGCCCGAGUACAGCUCCGGACUCGUCCCCUCCAGCAGCCUGCUGGGCGGCUCCCCAACCGGCUUCGGAGGCAAGUCGAGGCCCAAGGACGGAUCCAGCACAGAAGGCAAGGAGUGCGUGAACUGCGGGACAACCUCCACCCCACUGUGGCGGCGAGACGGCACCGGGCACUACCUGUGCAACACCUGUGGGCUCUACCACAAAGUGAACGGACAGAACUGGCCCCUCAUUAAGCCCAGGGGAAGGCUGUCUGCAGCCAGGAGAGCAGGGACGUCCUGUGCAAACUGUCAGACCACCAAGACCAUGCUCUGGAGGAGGAAUGCCAACGGGGCCCCUGUCUGCAACGCCUGCGGGCUCUACUACAAGCUGCACAAUACUAACAGACCCCUGACCAUGAAGAAGGAAGGCAUCCAGACCAGAAACCGGAAAAUGUCUAGCAAAUCCAAAAAGUGUACGACACGCUGGAGGACUUCCCCAAGAACAGCUCAUUUAACCCGGCCGCCCUCUCCAGUUACAUGUCCUCCCUGAGCCACAUCUCGCCCUUCAGCCACUCCAGUCACAUGUUGACCACGCCCAUGCCGAUGCACCCACCGUCCAGCCUGUCCCUUGAACCUCACCAUACUUCCAGUAUGGUCACCGCCAUGGGUUAGAGGCCCGCUCGACGCUCACUGGGCUCCACGCGAGAGUCCCCGAAGCCCCUUUGACUUGCAUUUGUGCAGGGGCAGUAUCAUGAAGACUGAAGGCCAUGGAUAUAUGUUUUCGAAGGCAGAAAGCAAAAUGAUGUUUGCUACUUUGCAAAGGAGCUCACUGUGGUGUCUGUGUUCCAACCACUGAUUCUGGGUCCCAUUUGUGAAUAAGCCAUUCAGACUCUCAUCCCCUAUUUAACAGGGUCUCUAGUGCUGUGAAAAAAAAUGCUGAACAUUGCAUAUAACUUAUAUUGUAAGAAAUACUGUACAUUUGAGGAAGACUCUAUUGCAUCUGGGUAGCUGUAAGGCAUGAAGGAGGCCAAGAAGUUUAACGAAUAUGGGGGAAAAUAAAGUAUGGAAACUAAGAAGAAACUAGGUCUGAUAUCCAAAUAGACAAACUGCCAGUUUUGUUUCCUUUCACUGGCCACAGUUGUUUGAUGCAUUAAAAGAAAAAAAACAAAACAAAA